UACAAAGGAAUUGACGGGACCCGCACAAGCGGUGGAUCAUGUUGUUUAAUUCGAUGAUACGCGAAGAACCUUACCAGGUCUUGACAUCCCCGCAAUGCUCUGGAGAUAGAGCGGAGGUAUCCGGGAGACAGGUGGUGCAUGGUUGUCGUCAGCUCGUGUCGUGAGAUGUUGGGUUAAGUCCCGCAACGAGCGCAACCCUUAUUGCUAGUUACCAUCAUUGAGUUGGGGACUCUAGCGAGACUGCCAGCGAUAAGCUGGAGGAAGGUGGGGAUGACGUCAAAUCAUCAUGCCCCUUAUGACCUGGGCUACAAACGUGAUACAAUGGCUGGAACAAAGGGAGGCGAAGGGGUGACCUGGAGCGAAACCCAAAAAUACAGUCUCAGUUCGGAUUGAAGUCUGCAACUCGACUUCAUGAAGUCGGAAUCGCUAGUAAUCGCGGAUCAGAACGCCGCGGUGAAUACGUUCUCGGGGUUU
rnacentral:rRNA from 1 species